UCACCUCCGCAGGCUGCCGGCCCCCAGGCGGGGCGGGGCGAGUAUCUCUUCGAGAGGCUCCCCCUCAAGCAGGACCAGGAGC
rnacentral:pre_miRNA from 1 species